rnacentral:tRNA from 1 species
CAGAAGGUAAUUCAAGUAUAUAUAUAUAUAUUGGGGGUCAUAUUCGCCUUGUCCCCUUUUGA